GAGGAAAAGAAACCAACAGGGAUUGCCUCAGUAACGGCGAGUGAAGCGGCAAAAGCUCGUGUUUGAAAGCCCCCGGGCAUUGUAACGGGGGGUUGACGAUGGUGCCAAGUGUGUUGGAAAACACCGCCAGAGAGGGUGACAGCCCCGUUUACCCAAAGUCCACCCCCACAUCCGAGUCGAGUUGUUUGGGAAUGCAGCUCUAAUGGUGGUAAAUUCCAUCCAAAGCUAAAUAUCAGCGAGAGACCGAUAGCGAACAAGUACAGUGAUGGAAAGAUGAAAAGCACUUUGAAAAGAGAGUGAAAAAGUACGUGAAAUUGUUGAAAGGGAAGGGAUUGCGCGGGACGGAUGGUCGGGGAGAAGAGGGCCAAAAAUGUUUGGGGAUGUAGCUUUCGAGUAUUAUACCCCAAACCCACAGC
rnacentral:rRNA from 1 species